rnacentral:rRNA from 1 species
UACGAGGGGGGCAAAUGUUGUUCGGAAUCACUGGGCGUAAAGGGCGCGUAGGCGGCAUCGCAAGUGGAAGGUGAAAUCCCUCGGCUUAACCGAGGAACUGCCCUCCAACUGCGUUGCUUGAGGCCGGGAGAGGUGAGUGGAAUUCCCAGUGUAGCGGUGAAAUGCGUAGAUAUUGGGAGGAACACCAGUGGCGAAGGCGGCUCACUGGACCGGUUCUGACGCUGAGGCGCGAAGCGUGGGA